rnacentral:rRNA from 1 species
AGCGAGCGCUGGCGGCAGGCUUAACACAUGCAAGUCGAGCGGGCCCUUCGGGGUCAGCGGCAGACGGGUGAGUAACGCGUGGGAACGUGCCCUUCGGUUCGGAAUAACUCAGGGAAACUUGAGCUAAUACCGGAUACGCCCUUAUGGGGAAAGGCUUGCUGCCGAAGGAUCGGCCCGCGUCUGAUUAGCUAGUUGGUGAGGUUAUGGCUCACCAAGGCGACGAUCAGUAGCUGGUCUGAGAGGAUGAUCAGCCACACUGGGACUGAGACACGGCCCAGACUCCUACGGGAGGCAGCAGUGGGGAAUAUUGGACAAUGGGGGCAACCCUGAUCCAGCCAUGCCGCGUGAGUGAUGACGGCCUUAGGGUUGUAAAGCUCUUUUCUCCGGGACGAUAAUGACGGUACCGGAGGAAUAAGCCCCGGCUAACUUCGUG